UCCAUGUGUAUGCACCUCCCCUGCGUGUGUUCUUCCACUGGUUCUGUUUCUCUGGAGAACACAGACUUAUACAGCAUAACACCAUUUAGCCCUCAACAGGGAGGCUCGUGGACAGAUUUGCAGUGGCUCUACCCUCCCGCACACAAGCAGGUUCCCACAAGGAUGCACGCCCUGCCGCUGGGUGUCAGGGCCUCUGGGAGAAUGGAGGCAAUGUGUUUGCAACACCUGGCCCUCUGGAAGCGAUAGCAGAAUUCUGUGGGCCAUGUGGAAAGCAGCCUUCCCCGGGUUCUUCCCGUGGAUGCAAUUCUCCCGCUGAUUGUGAAACCACCUGCCUGGGGACUCCAACCCCUUCGGAGGAGAAAGGGCAGCCUGAACACCGUGACCUGGGAGCCAGACGGGAGAGAGGGAGGCUGCCCUCUGACCGGAGCGGAGGCCACCCCUGCGAGGAGUCCUCUCUCAGUUUUUAUUAUUCUUCUACUUCAAGGCAAGCUGUGUUGUAGGGAAAAAAUGAAAAAAAAAAAAAAA